GGGGAAUCAACUCUUUAUCUCUUGCAAAGCUACUUCUGGUCACAGCUUAAGAAAGCUAGGCAAAUGCCAUUAAUAUGUAGCCUAAAUCUGUGACAAAAAUCAUAGAUAGAGCCACUGCAUACUUGACAAUUCUUGCUUCAUAAAAGCACAAAGAAGAGAAUGUGGGCUAUUAAAUUAGAAAAGGAAUGCAUAGCAUGAAGGCUAUGAAACUUUACUGACUAGAAAUGCAGUACAUUGAGAAUUCAGUUACAUUUUGUUUUAAAGCAUAUUUUGUGGCCUGUUUUUAGAAAAAGGUUGUCAAGUUGUCAGAUCAUUUGAACAAGUAGAUCACUGAUACAGACCCCCUUAGUUUUUAUUUGCUCCUCAUUGCACUGUCUUACAGAGUUAUCCGAAUGCUCACAACUGAGGCUUCUUUUAAGUCCAGUAUUUAUGAAUACUUGUAUGGACUUAACUUGUUUAAUGUUCUGAUUCUUCUGACCUGAAAAUGACUCUUAAGCCAUAAUAAGAUUACAUGGUGAAACUAGAGCAAAAAAAUUUACUGGCAUCAGAUCUGAGGCACCACUGAGAAAGAAUAGUCAGUCAAAAAAGUAGAAAAGCCUCCUUGAUGCCAAUUAAUAAGCUGAGUGAAGGAGAAAAUACUACAGAAGUAAAUUAUGAAGUCAGAAUUCUUCUAAUUAAAGUUACUUUGGUGGAAAAGAAUUAAGUGUAUAGUUAAACCAGGAAACUGCCUCCCACAGGCGACAGUGAUAGCCACCAACUUGGAUGCUUUAAAAGAGGGUUAGGCAAAUCCUUGGGGGAGAGAGUGUCAUUCAUGGUUACUAAACAUAAUGCCUAUGCUUUGCCUCCACAGUUGGAGGCAACAACGCUUUUGAAUAUCAGUUGGUGGGAGCCACUUGUGCUCGAAUCCCGCCUGCUGGUUUCUCUCUGUUUCAGCCCCUGUGAGAAUAGGAUGUGGGACUAGAUGGGCCAUUGACCUGAUCUAGCAUGUUCUUGUUAUGUUCUUAAUGAAGUGAUAUUAUCUUAGCUUUCAAAUAUGGAGUUUCAGAAGGACCCACUGCUGCAGGGCCAUAGAUACAGGCUCAGCACCUCCUGCUCUGUUAAGUACAAUGGUACCUCGGGUUACAGAUUCUUCAGGUUACAGACUCUGCUAACCCAGAAAUAAUACCUCGAGUUAAGAAUUUUGCUUCAGGAUGAGAACAGAAAUGGCACGGUGGCAGCGUAGAGGCAAUGGGAGGCCCCAUUAGCUAAAGUGGUAUCUCAGGUUAAGAACAGUUUCAGGUUAAGAACGGAUCCCUCAAAGCUAAAUUUCAAGUGCAAAAUCUGAGCGUCUGAAAUUCACAAAGUUCAAUCUGACUUGUGAAACGAUUGUUGGUUUUUUUGAACAGGAUGCCAAAUGUAGAAAGACCUUGGUACCAAAUGCCAUGACAAAAGGGAAACCAAGAUCCAUAGAGAAAUUAUGCCUAAAACCGGUUAGUAGCUGCUUAACAUCCAAUAAGAAAGGUGACUGCAAGCAAUAAGAUGGAUGGAUUGUCCUGGAUCUGCUCCUGUCAAGAGAAGGCCUCCCUGAUCCUUUCUUUAAUAUGCUACUGAGGGUGAAAAAGCAUUCUAUGUACAUUUUGAGCUUUAGUCCAUAGUAGGAACUUACCAUUUAUCUUAGGUGGUGUACGUGUUUUCCAUUUCGUCCUCACAAAAGCCUUGCUAAGUAGAAUAGGCUAAGCAAUAGUGCCUGGCCCCAGGCCACCUAGUGACCAUGAUGUCUGAAAAAAGUUAUGAGUUUAUAUAUGCCUAGCUCUCCUGGUUUAAGGGAUUGUCCACACUUCCACUUGCCCUGUGCCAAGAAACCAUCUCACUUGUCUGGGAAAGCCACAGCACCAUGGAAAAAGUUUGUUUCCGUUACAGGAAAGUAUGAUCAGAUGCCUGGUUAUUCUGUUGCUUUUCUUUUAAUGAUGCCACCUGCUGGACUCCAAGUAUAAAUGCUGCUUCACUGACAUGUGUUUUACGCUCUAAUUUUACAUCCUUUUAAGAAGACAGUUGUGUCGAGCAAUUUUAUGAAGUCCUGCCUCUCGUUUUAAAAAUACAUUAAAAGGAAAUGUUAUGGCAGCUGGAAAUCACCCAUGCUGACCCCUCACAGGGGCAUCUAAAGUCUUGUGUAGGGACAGAUUAUUGCAGGGGAAGGGACCAAAUAUAGCACAGAAUAGGAGAGGCAGGAAACUACUACCAAAGGGGGCCCUAAUGACAGUUUUGCAGAGUCAAGUGGCUGAUAUUGGAAUUUAUGAAUAUUCUAAAUGAAAUUCUAUAUAUCCUAAAUGCAUUAUAAGCUUACAAAAUGUUAAGGUUAAGUGACUGAGUCAUUAAUGUGAUCUGGUGCGUAUCGUGCAGUGCAGUCAUUGGUAAUAGCCAAAGACACAGGUCUGAGCAAUUUUCUAGGUAUGGAUCUGAGCAGUUUUGCCUUUGCACUUUCCUCUGAAAAACCUACUCUUUAGUGCUAAAUUGGAACAAACAGCAAUCUGCAGAAAACCCGAUUGCUGUUUGUUCCAAUUUGGCAUUGAACUAUAGGUUUCCCUGCACUAAGCAACAGGACAAGCAGAGGUGUGGAUAAGCCCUAAAACAAAUUAUGAGUUUGUGGGGUCUGAGACACCCUAAAUUCCUGGGUCCAAUAAAAGUUAGAAUUAACCAAGGUUUGGGGAGUUAAACUGUGUCAAGCACUGAACCACUGGAUUCAGGGCUUAUGCUAAAAAUACAAGCAAGGCUACCCUGGUGAUCACAGAGUAUGGGUCGUUAGGAAAACAAAUUCUGAGAAUGGCUGAGUUGUUAUGCAAGCAAAGAGGCAGGGAGAUGGGGUAGUCCUGUAUAGAGGUAGUCAGCAUGAGAGAAGGGGCCAGAGUAUUUGGGCCAGAGUAUUUAGGAUGGUGGUUGGCAGUGAUGUGCUGGCAAAAAACUGUGACAAGCUGUAAAAAGGAGACGGAGAGCAUGACUGAUUUCUGUUUUAGAUCCAAGGCUGCUGAACCCAUGGGAGAAGCAAGAGACCCUCUUGGAGUGCAAUACUGGGAAUGUCUCCAUUGUAGGCUCAAGUUGUAUAUAUGUGUAAAUAAACCAUAUAUCAUAAAGACACCACAGUCUCCGCUUUGCCUCAUUUCCAAAGGAAGUUAUUUUUCAGAAUAGGCUAAAAAUACACACCUAUAGGCUUUGGGGUCUUUGCUGCUUUGAUUCCUACUGACAAGCAGUUGCAUU